GCCCGGGUACUACGAGCAUCAGCUUAAAACCCAAAGGACUUGGCGGUGCUUUAGAUCCACCUAGAGGAGCCUGUUCUAGAACCGAUAAUCCCCGUUAAACCUCACCUUUCCUUGCCUAGUCCGCCUAUAUACCGCCGUCGUCAGCUUACUCUGUGAAGAAUUUGUAGUAAGCACAAUCGGCACAGCCCAAAACGUCAGGUCGAGGUGUAGCGUAUGGAAAGGGAAGAAAUGGGCUACAUUCAAUAGCAAUAGUGAACACGAAUAAUGUUUUGAAAGAGACAAUUGAAGGAGGAUUUAGUAGUAAGCAUGGGAAUAGAGCGCCCUGCUGAAACCGGCCCUGAAGCGCGCACACACCGCCC
rnacentral:rRNA from 1 species